UAGGGAAUAUUGCAAAAUGGGCGAAAGCCCGAUGCAGCAACGCCGCGUGGGCGAUGAAGGCCUUCGGGUCGUAAAGCCCUUUUUGAGGGGAUGAGGAAGGACAGUACCCUCAGAAUAAGCCUCGGCUAACUACGUGCCAGCAGCCGCGGUAAAACGUAGGAGGCGAGCGUUAUCCGGAUUUACUGGGCGUAAAGCGCGUGCAGGCGGAUUGGAGAGUUGGAUGUGAAAGCUCCCGGCUUAACUGGGAGAGGUCGUUCAAUACUUCCAGUCUUGAGUGCAGUAGAGGGUAGUGGAAUUCCGGGUGUAGUGGUGAAAUGCGUAGAUAUCCGGAGGAACACCAGUGGCGAAAGCGGCUUCCUGGACUGUAACUGACGCUCAGACGCGAAAGCUAGGGUAGCAAACG
rnacentral:rRNA from 1 species